AACUGACGCUAAGGCGCGAAAGCGUGGGGAGCAAACAGGAUUAGAUACCCUGGUAGUCCACGCCCUAAACGAUGUACACUAGUUGUUGGGGUGCUAGUCAUCUCAGUAAUGCAGCUAACGCAUUAAGUGUACCGCCUGGGGAGUACGGUCGCAAGAUUAAAACUCAAAGGAAUAGACGGGGACCCGCACAAGCGGUGGAGCAUGUGGUUUAAUUCGAAGAUACGCGAAGAACCUUACCUGGGCUUGAUAUCCUAAGAACCUUUUAGAGAUAAGAGGGUGCUAGCUUGCUAGAACUUAGAGACAGGUGCUGCACGGCUGUCGUCAGCUCGUGUCGUGAGAUGUUGGGUUAAGUCCCGCAACGAGCGCAACCCACGUAUUUAGUUGCUAACGGUUCGGCCGAGCACUCUAAAUAGACUGCCUUCGUAAGGAGGAGGAAGGUGUGGACGACGUCAAGUCAUCAUGGCCCUUAUGCCCAGGGCGACACACGUGCUACAAUGGCAUAUACAAUGAGACGCAAUACCGCGAGGUGGAGCAAAUCUAUAAAAUAUGUCCCAGUUCGGAUUGUUCUCUGCAACUCGAGAGCAUGAAGCCGGAAUCGCUAGUAAUCGUAGAUCAGCCAUGCUACGGUGAAUACGUUCCCGGGUCUUGUACUCACCGCCCGUCACACCAUGGGAGUUGAUUUCACUCGAAGCCGGAAUACUAAACUAGUUACCGUCCACAGUGGAAUCAGCGACUGGGGUGAAGUCGUAACAAGGUAACCGUAGGAGAACCUGCGGUUGGAUCACCUCCUUUCUA
rnacentral:rRNA from 1 species